CCUGCAAGAAACAGAAAAUGGAAAGAAACUUUAGCUAUGGUAAUUAAAUACCCAUCCAAAUAUUUCUUAAAGAUGUUUUAGUGCAGCUGCAUUAGAGAGCUCUGUCUUUCCCCUAUUUCUAUUUUCUCAUUAGUCAGAACUUCCCUUGUGUCAUAUCAUCCACUAUUCAAACAAUUUCUAAAUCUACAUCUAACCUCAUCUAGAUAAGUUUUAUUUCAAUGCUGCAGUACCUAUAUUUCACUCAGUAAUGGUGCAGAAUAUUCAUGUGCUAUCCAAAAUAUGUAUUUUUGUGAUUUUACCACCUCAAGUCUUCCAGAUCUACAGGGUAUAAUCUAAUGAACCUAUUAAUGUAUCUUAUUACUUCAUAUUAAAGAGCUGCAUUUGUUAUAAGACUUUUUUACUUCAUAAUUGAAUUUACAGAAAUAGAAUUGGGACUGUUUAAGGAUCAGAGUACAGCAGAUGUUGCUACUUCUGAAGUCUACAAACAACAAAUCUACAUCUGACAAAAAUACUUCCUGCGGGUGCAAAGAGAAUGUUUUUCCCCAAUUAACUUCAUUCUAUUUGGAAAUUCCUUGGAAAAAAAAUCCUAUUAAUAGCAUUAAAAGUAGUACAUUAAUAUUUUCCAAGUGAAUUAAAAAAAAAAACAACAAAAAUCUGUGCAGGAAAGAUGAUAAGAUGACUAGUUCUUGUGCCAUGACUGAUACUGGAACUAGAAACAAAUGCAUCCAUGAGUACCCAACACUUUUGUUUAAAUAAAUUUUACACAUACAUCAAUUCAAUUGUCUUACAGGUCUUUUCCAAACUAAUGGUUCUAGGGCUAUUUUAGGCAACUCAUGCAUUCAUUAUAAUUUUCUUGGAUUUAGUUUACGAAUUAAAGACUUUAAAUAAGACUUUAAAAUAUGUUUUUUCUGCUACUUAACUGAAUUCAGUAUUCACCUCAGUUAGUUUGACUUAAGACAACCAGAUGUACAUUUCAAGUCAAUCAUUCACCACUAAACAAACAAAAAACUUAAAACCCCCCCAAAAAACCAAAAAAAACCCCUAAGCAUAUUAUGAAUUAUAACUGCUCAACUGGUGAUUGAUUAUACCUGCUAAUUGGCAAGACUCAGUAUUGCAUGUGUAGUGUUUCAUUUGCAAGAGAGCAGUUACUAAUUAAAAUCCCCUCUUGUUUGGAACUCCUUUCCCGCAGUUAAUAUGUCCUCCCAACUACAGGCUAAGCUCUUUUUUUUCCAAUAUAAAUUGCAGUAAAUAAAUAGUUUAAACUAACCAAUAAUUUUUAAAUAACAAAUGGAAGAAUAAUGUACUGAUGAAGUUUUGAAAGAAAACUUAAACUGUAGAGCAGCAAGCUCCUCAGUGCUUAUUAUGAACAAGAACAGCUGGCUCAAUGAUUCCAGACAGAAGAAUAGAUUAUCCUGCUUCUGAAACUUAAUUAACUUAAUACUAAUUGUGAAUUUAUGGAAGGUCCAUUUUUGGCUUAUACUACAAAGCAAUUUUUUCUAAAAAGGUUUUUGCCUUAGCUUUGCAACUUAAUCCUUCUGCAUGUCAUUAUCUCAUCUGUUAUACAUUUAACUGGUCUAAAAAUAAAAACAAAAUUGAGUGUUUGGUAAAGACAACUGGGAACAGACUUAAACUGUUUUCUAAAGUAAACUGAUGCAGAGUAUAAGCAAAUUGUCAGAGAAUUGCCUUUACUAUUCUGCAGAGUGCUUUGUCCAAACGGAGAAGAAAUGGUGCAAUACAGAGACUACAACUUCAAGAACUCAUAGUUCAGGAGUACAGUACAAAAAGAAGAUGGCCAGCAAGUUCUCACCUUUGCAACCUUACCCAUGUCUUCUAACGUUGCCCUCUCAUUUGGAAAUUGAGAAAAAGUCUGCUCAAUUUUGGCAAUCACAGCAUCUAUAUUUACUUUUUCCUUAGGACAUCCUCGAGGAAAAUAAAAAGUUGGAAUGUUUUGACUA